GGGGGAUUGAGCGUAACAGCACUUCCCCUGCGGUUCACUUCGCAGCAAUGCGGUUUGGGGGUCUGAGCUUUUAUCGGCACUGUCCCUGCUUCGAGGACUAUGUUUUCAUAUACACUAUAAAAGUUAUCAGAAUGUCUCUUAACGAUUGUGCCUAGUCGCAGUCAUUAAACCUAUACAACUUUCAGCAACGGAUCUCUUGGCUCUCCCAUCGAUGAAGAACGCAGCGAAAUGCGAUAAGUAAUGUGAAUUGCAGAAUUCAGUGAAUCAUCGAAUCUUUGAACGCACCUUGCGCCCUUUGGUAUUCCGAAGGGCAUGCCUGUUUGAGUGUCAUUAAAUUAUCAACCUUGCUUGCUUUUACUGGCUCGCUAGGCUUGGAUGUGAGGGCUGCUGGCUUCCUUCAGUGGAUGGUCUGCUCCCUUUAAAUGCAUUAGCGGGACCUCUUGUGGACCGUCACUUGGUGUGAUAAUUAUCUAUGCCAGUUGACUUUGAAGCAAACUUAUGGGAACCUGCUUAUAACCGUCCUUUGGGACAGCUUUUAACAUUUGACCUCAAAUCAGGUAG
rnacentral:rRNA from 1 species